UACGGAGGGUGCGAGCGUUGUCCGGAAUCAUUGGGCGUAAAGGGCGCGUAGGUGGCCCGGUCAGUCGAUGGUGAAAGCGCGGGGCUCAACCCGGGAACUGCCAUUGAUACUAUCAGUCUUGAAUAUCGUUGAGGUUUGCGGAAUGGGUCAUGUAGCGGUGAAAUGCAUAGAUAUGACCCGGAACACCUAUUGCGAAGGCAGCAGGCUAAGCGAAGAUUGACGCUGAGGCUCGAAAGCGUGGGGAUCAGACAGG
rnacentral:rRNA from 1 species